rnacentral:rRNA from 1 species
UGCAGCUCAAAAUGGGUGGUAAAUGCCAUCUAAAGCUAAAUAUUGGCGAGAGACCGAUAGCGAACAAGUACCGUGAGGGAAAGAUGAAAAGAACUUUGGAAAGAGAGUUAAACAGUACGUGAAAUUGCUGAAAGGGAAACGCUUGAAGUCAGUCACAUUGGCUAGGAAUCAGUCUUGCUUUUGCUUGAUGUAUUUUCUGGUUGAUGGGUCAGCAUCAAUUUUGAUCACUGGAUAAAGUCUUUGGGAAUGUGGCAUCUUUGGAUGUGUUAUAGCCCAUUGUUGCAUACNGUGAUUGGGAUUGAGGAACUCAGCACGCUGUAAAGGCCGGGUCUUUGACCACGUUCGUGCUUAGGAUGCUGGCAUAAUGGCUUUAAUCGACCCGUCUUGAAACACGGACCAAGGAGUCUAACAUGCCUGCGAGUGUUUGGGUGGAAAACCCAUUCGCACAAUGAAAGUGAAAGUUGAGAUCCCUGUAAAAGGGAGCAUCGACGCCUGGACCAGACCUUUUGUGACGGAUCCACGGUAGAGCAUGUAUGUUGGGACCCGAAAGAUGGUGAACUAUGCCUGAAUAGGGUGAAGCCAGAGGAAACUCUGGUGGAGGCUCGUAGCGAUU